AGUGAACGCUGGCGGUAGGCCUAACACAUGCAAGUCGAACGGCAGCACAGGAGAGCUUGCUCUCUGGGUGGCGAGUGGCGGACGGGUGAGGAAUACAUCGGAAUCUACUCUGUCGUGGGGGAUAACGUAGGGAAACUUACGCUAAUACCGCAUACGACCUACGGGUGAAAGCAGAGGAUCUUCGGACCUUGCGCGAUUGAUUGAGCCGAUGUCGGAGUAGCUAGUUGGCGGGGUAAAGGCCCACCAAGGCGACGAUACGUAGCUGGUCUGAGAGGUUGAUCAGCCACACUGGAACUGAGACACGGUCCAGACUCCUACGGGAGGCAGCAGUGGGGAAUAUUGGACAAUGGGCGCAAGCCUGAUCCAGCCAUACCGCGUGGGUGAAGAAGGCCUUCGGGUUGUAAGCCCUUUUGUUGGGAAAGAAAUCCAGCUGGCUAAUACCCGGUUGGGAUGACGGUACCCAAAGAAUAAGCACCGGCUAACUUCGUGCCAGCCGCCGCCGUAA
rnacentral:rRNA from 1 species